rnacentral:misc_RNA from 1 species
GGAAAUAAAAGUCGUAACAAGGUUUCCGUAGGUGAACCUGCGGAAGGAUCAUUAUUGAAUAAACCUGAUGUGGUUGUAGCUGGCCCUUUCGGGAGCAUGUGCACACCCGUCGUCUUUAUCUUUCCACCUGUGCACCUUUUGUGGACCUGGAUGUAACACUUUCCGAGGCAACUCGGUCGGGAGGAAUGCUGUCAGCUUUCCUUGAAUGUCCAGGCCUAUGUUUUCAUAUACCCCAAAGAAUGUAACAGAAUGUAUUAUUGGGCCUUGUGCCUAUAAACUAUAUACAACUUUCAGCAACGGAUCUCUUGGCUCUC